rnacentral:lncRNA from 1 species
AUCACUGGGUCAGAAGGUUGCGAAUCGCCUCAAUGUCAAACCAAGUAUGUGACAAGGAUGCAGAUGCUGAGCCAUAGGCUACAUAUUUGUGCAGAGUAUGAUGUGUCCAUGCCAAAUCAGAGUUCAGUUCAUCAGAACAAGGCUCCUUGAGUGUAGUAACUAUCAAUAAGGUGACUAUCUAGUUAUCAGAAAAGAAAAACCAAUGCAACUAUUUGAGCACCAUGCUGUACGUAUAGAUCUAAAUGGCAUCUUAAGUGCUUGGCUCCUCUUGGAUUUACAUUACUGUUUUUAACAAAAAGCACUCUUUACUUUAGUGGCAUAGUGGCAUGCUAUUGGUGAUAUUUUGAUGUCUAGGGAUAAUGCGUCAAUACCGGAUAGUCAAAGGAUCGAAGGCCUAAAUGCUCUCCUGAUUCCAUGCGAGAUCAAAACAAAGAUGAAAAAAAUAUGUUUGUCUGAUUAAUAGUUGGACUUGAUUGGGAGAGAUUCUGCAUUAAUUUCCUUCAGGAAAUCCGAAUAUUAUCAUUCUAAUGAUGGAUGAUUGUAGGAGAGCUAUAAGUAUGCUUGCUGAAUGUGUAUGUACUUGGGCUCUUGAACUUUUGGUACAAAAGGUUCAGCCUCAACCCCCUGACAUCAUUUACAAGUACGGAUUUACAUAAUACAUGCAGAGGCACUCACAAUCUACGAACCCACACAGAUCUCUGUCGAGCCUUCAACAUUAGUUUCUCGUGAUCAAUGUGAGUUCAGACACCUUAAGGCUUAAUUUCAUAGUUUUGUCUCAAAUUAGUUUUGUAAUAAAUGUAGUGCAU